UUCUUUAAAUGGGGACUUGUAUCAACGGCACCACGAGGGUUAGACUGUCUCCUUUUUCAAAUCAGUGAAAUUAAUCUCCCCGUGAAGAAGCGGGGAUACUCAUAUAAGACGAGAAGACCCCAUGGAGCUUCAAACCCAACUACACCCCUAGCUCUUAUAGCCCCACAACCCCCCCCC
rnacentral:rRNA from 1 species